GCGCGGGGUUCAGCGCCCGGCGGCCAGCCCCAGCCUGCGGCGGCCAGCGGGUCAGCGCUGCCCAGGAGAAUGAGGCGGGAGCCCGCGGCAACCUGCUCCUCCUCCUCCUCCUCCUCCUCCUCUUCUUCCUCUUCGCCUUCCUUCGGCUCCGGCGCCCCGGGCCUGGCUGUGGCUCUGCUGCGUGCCCCGCGCGCCCCCCGCCCGCCUCCGGAUGCGCUGCUCGGUUAGCCUGGGGCGGAAGAUAAAGACAUUUGCCACCAAGAUGGUAAUCACGAGCGGAAGUGAUGAGGACAGAGGAGGCCAGGAGAGAGAGAGUAAGGAAGAGAGUGUCUUGGCGGUGCUGGGGAUAAUCGGGACCGUUCUGAACCUGAUUGUCAUCAUAUUUGUAUACAUUUACACCACUCUGUGAACCGCUCCGAGGGGGCUCGGCGACGGCUGGAUGACGGCAGUCCUGUGUGUCGGCAGGUGAGUGACCGGACGCCGCUGCACAAGCAAGCGGGCUUGACCUACAUGCACGGUGUAAGCAAAGCCACCUUCGAACUUUAGAAAGAGGUCACAAAAACAAGCCACUCCUGCUACAAACAGCAGACACUAAAGCACAAUGAAUCCAACAAAACUCAUUCAUACGACAAGGAACAUAACGUCUUCGGCCCCAGGGCCCGACAGAACACUCCAAAGACCGGCCUUGGCCGCCUUCGCUGAGCGGAUGGGUGCAGAAAGCCAGCGUCCCAGAUCUCUGAUGCAUCCCAUGCCUUGGAAAGGAGGAACGGGGUGGGCGAGGCCCGUCGGUGUGUCUCCGGGGACACGCGCUUCACCUUGACGCGACGCCGAGCUGCUGGGACGAGACCCCGCUGGGCAGCCCUUUGACAGGAUUCCAUCCGUCCAAAGUGUCUAACUCUUUGAUACUGGGGAGAUAACUUAUUUUUCUUUUUUCAUUGGCUUGACGUGUGUAUCUGUUCAUAUCAAGGUUUAUAAAUGAUAUAUUUUUAAUAAAUGUGCUCUAUUUUUUAGCAUGAACCAAAUAUCUGGAGAGGCGCUCCUCGAGGCCCCGAGCUUUUGUUGGUUUUGUCUGCUUCACCCCAUAGACAGCAGGUGUUGCCAUACCCAUUCCCGUCCUGCUUCAACAUCCUGAACCUUUUACCUUCCUUCUCUCUCUCUCUCUCUCUCUCUCUCUCUGUGUCUGUCUCUCUCUGUUGGGUCUGAAGGACAUUUUUCCAUAGUACCAGCCAUGGUCCCAGUGGAUGCAUGUUUUAAGAUUGUCCGUGAGGCGGCUUUUUGUCAUUACAGGGGAGAGCUAAACCACUGGGCAUGUGCACCUUAGUUGUCCCAUAACCUUACCGAGAACUUUGCAUGAACAAGGGCUGAGCGAUAGGUCAGCUUCGACAAAAUGUAAAAAGGACUGUCCCCGAAGAUGAGAGGGCAGCUCUAUUCACGGAUCAACUCGAGGACGGAAUAUUCAGCUUCUUAUUGGCAGCAUUUUUAUUUCAUUCUGCUGACCAUUGAUCAGAUUUUUAUUUUAGUGGCCACAUCCCGUGCGCGUGAGGGAGAGCGAGGGGGAAAGGCCAGCGCACGUGUGUAAUUCCUUCCUUAGUCAGAGGGCCGCCUGGGACCUUUCUCAAAGCAGGUGGGGUGUAAAUGGCAUGCCGACUCCCCGGUGUGAGACACAGAGCUCAGCUGGCUCUUUCCGGCUGCAAGGGUGCCCCCAUGACAGGUGACUUUUAAGGGCACUAGAAGGGGAUGGAAUGAUCACCCUAAAAGAUUGCUGUGCUUCUCAAAGCUCCUGGUUUACACCCCCGCAGAGCUACUUCCUCCCUCGUGGGGAUGGGUGACUAUAUAUGAAUUCGCCCUGUUCUCUUGGCUCCCUGAGAUGGGCUUUCACUGGGCUGUGGCGGUGGCAUGCCCUGACAAAAAGGGUCACAGCUCCUUUUGCCGGUGCCAGUCUUGCCCGUGGACGAAAACUUGCCUAGUUGGGUUCAAAUCAUGCCCAGGAGGUCUUUACCGCCAGAUCUCUCCCUCCCCUUGUCGUGGUGUCCGAAACUCUACUAUUAGAGAGUCACUUCUUGGGCUCUGCUAAGGGACCAGGUUCUUUUAUAAAGCAAAUGCCCCCCGAGCACCUGACUCUGACAUUAUUCAUCAGGUGUCUUCUCUUCCCUCCCAGAAGGAAGUAGACAUGCAUUUAGGGCACACUGUGUGCCAGACACUUUAUAUUCCUUAGGCCAUUGAAACCCCCCAGUAACCCUGUAACCCCCCCCCCCGUGAGAUAUGGGGGGGCGGGCUCUUUUCCCACCAUUUGUAGAAGAAAGGAGGGCUCAGAGAGAUCAGGAAACUUCCCCGAGAUCCUGUGGCUGAAACCGGAUCUGCCCGGUUCCUUAGCCUAGGGAGGGCUGCAGAGAGGAGAUCCACAGGAGGGGAAGGCUCAGGAAAGCAAGGGCCCUCGGGGUCAGUACCAGACCCGACAAACUGGAUGGCUUUGCAGAAGGCCGGCUGUACACACCAUAGCCCCCUCCCCCAUAAAACCUAAGUAACCCUUGGGAACUCCUUGGACACUGGCAGAAUAUCAUACAAAUCAGGACGAGGGUCAAGAGGAGGUUGGUUAGGAAUAAAAUGAGCUGUCGGGGGAGGGAGCCAUCUACCAGGUUCUGUGUGACUCUAGAAAGACUGUAUGAAAAUUCUGAACAGUGAACAGAGUAAACAAUAAAGGUGCAAUGGAUUAAAAAAAA